AUUGAACGCUGGCGGCAUGCCUUACACAUGCAAGUCGAACGGUAACAGGGAGCUUGCUCCGCUGACGAGUGGCGAACGGGUGAGUAAAGUAUCGGAACGUACCUUUCAGUGGGGGAUAACGCAGCGAAAGUUACGCUAAUACCGCAUAUUCUGUGAGCAGGAAAGCAGGGGAUCGCAAGACCUUGCGCUGAUUGAGCGGCCGAUAUCAGAUUAGCUAGUUGGUGAGGUAAAGGCUCACCAAGCCAACGAUCUGUAGCUGGUCUGAGAGGACGACCAGCCACACUGGAACUGAGACACGGUCCAGACUCCUACGGGAGGCAGCAGUGGGGGAAUUUUUGGACAAUGGACGCAAGUCUGAUCCAGCCAUUCCGCGUGCAGGAUGAAGGCCCUCGGGUUGUAAACUGCUUUGUACGACGAAAGGUUUCUAUUAAUACUAGGAGCUCAUGACGGUACCGUAAGAUAAGCACCGGCUAACU
rnacentral:rRNA from 1 species